GGCCCGUCGUCUAGCCUGGUUAGGACGCCGCCCUUACAAGAGGCGGAGGCCCGGGGUUCAAGUCCCCGCGGGCCCAC
rnacentral:tRNA from 1 species